UACGUAGGGGGCUAGCGUUGUCCGGAAUCAUUGGGCGUAAAGCGCGUGUAGGCGGUCCGGUAAGUCCGCUGUGAAAGUCCAGGGCUCAACCCUGGAAUGCCGGUGGAAACUGUCGAGCUAGAGUCCGGAAGAGGCGAGUGGAAUUCCUGGUGUAGCGGUGAAAUGCGCAGAUAUCAGGAGGAACACCAAUUGCGAAGGCAGCUCGCUGGGACGUGACUGACGCUGAGACGCGAAAGCGUGGGAGGCGAACAGG
rnacentral:rRNA from 1 species